rnacentral:misc_RNA from 1 species
GAUGAAGAACGUAGCGAAAUGCGAUACGUAAUGUGAAUUGCAGAAUUCAGUGAAUCAUCGAAUCUUUGAACGCAUAUUGCGCUCUCUGGUAUUCCGGAGAGCAUGCUUGUUUGAGUAUCAGUAAACACCUCAACUUCCAUAUCUUUUUUGAAAUGGGAGUUGGACUUGAGUGAUCCCAACGCUUUUCCUCACCGAAAAGUGGCGGGUUACUUGAAAUGCAGGUGCAGCUGGACUUUUCUCUGAGCUAUAAGCAUAUCUAUUUAGUCUGCCUAAAAAACAGAUUAUUACCUUUGCUGCAGCUAACAUAAAGGAGAUUAGUUCUUGUGCUGACUGAUGCAGGAUUCACAAAGACAGGCUUCGGCCGACUUUGUAAACUCGAUCUCAAAUCAAGUAAGACUACCCGCUGAACUUAAGCAUAUCAAAAGCGGAGGA